rnacentral:lncRNA from 13 species
ACACACACACACACACACACACACACACACACACACACACACACACACACACACACACCUAGGAAAGAGAGGAAGUGUUCUGUGACUUUGAAAGACUGUGGAUUUUUCCAAAAUGUGCUUCCUUGUUCUUCUCCUGCAGGUGAUCUUGGCUUCUCCCUCCAUCACACUUUUGACAGGCCUCUCCAGUCAGGUUUCAUCAAGCUGUAGGAAACCCCUUUUUCACGGUGAGUGAAGUCGACUUUUGGUCAUUUCACUCAAUAUGGUCAUUGUACACUGUGGUCGCUGUGGACUGUGGUCAUUGUGGACUGUGGUCAUUGUGCACUGUGGUCAUUGUACACUGUGGUCAUUGUGGACUGUGGUCAUUGUNCACUGUGGUCAUUGUGGACUGGGGUCAUUGUACACUGUGGUCAUUGUGGACUGGGGUCAUUGUACACUGUGGAAGUUGUGGACUGGGGUCAUUGUACACUGUGGUCGUUGUGGACUGGGGUCAUUGUGCACUGUGGUCAUUGUGCACUGUGGUCAUUGUACACUGUGGUCAUUGUGCACUGUGGUCAUUGUGCACUGGUGUCAUUGUGGACGGUGGUCCUUGUACACUGUGGUCCUUGUACAGUGUGAUCAUUGUGCAGUGUGGUCAUUGUGGACUGUGGUCAUUGCACUUUGGUCUGUAGAAUUAAAUGCUGUUGAGCCUGUUGAUGACUACUUGACUCAACCAGUAGGUGUCAGUGUUGAAAAGUCCUGGUGAAAGUAAUUAUGGUUUUCUGGUUUGUUUGUUUUUCCAGCCCUGUUGAUGACGUUGGUCUGUUGGAACCUCUUCAGCCUUCUGCCUUAAAUCUGCCGAACUUCCAAAGGAGAACUUUACAUCCAAGUUUAACAUUUUAUUGAUUUGGCUAUUUUUGUUCAAUAUAUAUAUAUAUAUAUAUAUAUAUAUAUAUAUAUAUAUAUAUAUAUAUAUAUAUACUGUAGUCAGGCAUAUUUAUGCAAAUGUGUGUAUCUUUUCUCCUGUCAAUUAUGUUUUGUUUAAUGUUUAUUUGUUUCAUUUAUUUUUUAUUUGUUGACAUGUACAUAGCAUACAGUGUAAAACUAUUCAAAUAUACAAACCCAAUCUCUUUAUAUUCUUAUCAAUGCUAAUGUAAAUGAAUGUUUUUGUGUCCUGAUAAGAUGAGUCAUUCGGACGUUUUACAGAUGUUAUGUAUCUGAUACUGAAGGCCUUUUGCUCCACUAGGGGGUGAAAGGAACAAGUACUUCAAAUAUUUGAUAUGGAAGAGCCUCUAGAGAAAGAGAAGUUAAGAAAUAUAUACUCUUAUGCAAGAACACUGUCCAUAUAUAUUUUGAACUUAAUUUCUUCUCCCGUACCAUAGAAUUUUGUAUUUCUUUGGCUGUGUUUACACAGGCAGCCCAAUUCUGAUCUUAUUUUAUUAAUUGGUCUUUUGACCAAUCAGAUCAGCUUUAAAGAAUAGCUGAUGUGAAAACAUCUGAUGUGAUGGGUCGAAAGACCAUUUAGUGGAAAAAAAUUCACAAUUGGGCUUCCUGUGGAAACGCGUACUUUGUGAUGGUAACACAUUUACAGGUAGACCAGAGAAGCCACAUCCCUGAUUGGCAGAUGAAUCGCAACGCUGAUUAGAAGCACCUGCUACUCACCGCUAACUCACCUGUCUUCCCUAUAAUAAAUACUGUUUCUUAUUGAAAAAGUUGUGAACCUACACACUGUAGAAGGCUGUUAAGCCGAAUCAUAUGUGGAUGCUAUCCUGAUGUAGUAAAAAUAAUAACAAUAAAUGAAAAAUUAACUAAGCUUUAUGCGAUAUCUUUUUGAGUGCGGACCCAUCACACUUUCUAAGUGAAGAGGUGUAAAAAGGAACUUUUCUGUCAAUAAUUUUAUGAAUAGACAUAUAAGUAACAUUGAAAAUAUGCUUAGUGAUUUUGUAGAAUAGCAUAGCCAGGGGUGGGAAUGAGGAGGACACACGAUUGUAGAAAGAUAAUACUUGAUUUUUAGAAAAUGAAAAGUAUUGGUCAUAUACACAUUAUUUGUGUAUUUAACCAGGCUAGUCAGUUACUUACAAUGACAGCCUAGGAACAGAGGGUUAACAUCCUUGUUCAGGAUGACAGAUUUUUACCUUGUCUGCUCAGGGAUUCGAUCUAGCAACCUUUAGGUUACUGGCCCAAAGCUCUAACCAGUAGGCUACCUGCCACCCCCUGUGUGGAGGAUUUAACAGAUCUUAUUGUGGGUGUAGCAAAAUGCAUGUGUUACUAGCUCCAACAGUGCAGUAGUAUCUUACAAUUCACAAUACACAAAUCUAAAAGUAAAAUGAUGUUAUUAAGAAAUAUAUAAAUAUUAGGACGAGCAAUGUCCGAGUGCCAUUUACUAAAUACAGUAGAAUAGAAUACAUUAUAUACAUAUGAGAUGAGUAAAGCACAAUGUAAACAUUAUUAAAGUGACUAGUGAUCCAUUAUUAAAGUGGCAGUGAUUCCAUGUCUAUGUAUAUAGGGCAGCAGCCUCUAAGGUUCAGGGUUAAGUAACCAGGUGGUAGCUGGCUAGUGAUGGCUGUUUAACGAGUCUGAUGGCCUUGAGAUGGAAGCUGUUUUUCAGUGCUUUAUGUGUUGCCCUUGCACCACAUGGUCAGGUCUCUGACCUCCUUAUAUGCUCUCAUCAUUGUCGGUGAUCAGGCCACUGUUGUGACAUCAGCAAACUUAAUGAUGGUGUUGGAGUUGUGCCUGGCCGUGCAGUCAUGAGUGAACAGGGAGUACAGGAGGGGACUGAGCACGCACCCCAGAGGGACCCCCGUGUUGAGGAUCAGCGUGGCGGAUGUGUUGUUACCUACCCUUACCACCUGGGGGCGUCCUGUCAGGAAGUCUAGGAUCCAGUUGCAGAGGGAGCUGAUCUCACACGCCUGCCAGAAAGAUAAUAUGAAGAAAUCUGAUGCACGACUGCACUGUCGAUGACUUGACAUGCAACAUUUCAUUUAUUCAAGCAACAUAAAAAAUGUAGUCAGCCUGGAACACAACCAAUAUGUUAUUAGUUCAGAAACCUGUUCUUCUGAAAAUGGGUUCCCAUCUUUGAUCUUUUGUGCGAGAUUUCCACCCUCACCUUCGUAGUAACUUUUAUCGGUUUUAUCUGUGAAAAUGCAUAGUUUGUGUGAAUAUAGUAUUUUGGGAUAUAUUGUUAUAGCAUGCUAGCUCCUCUGUUUAUAAUUUUCAUGUUGAUACUGUGGCAACAAACAUUUUGGGGUGGUGCCCCAGACACAGAUGAAGUUUAGUCCUGGACUAGAACUCAUUCUCAAUGGAUUUGUAAUCUUUAUCUGGGAACCAACCCUAACGUGUUCUCUCUAAAACUGAAAAAUAAAAACAAAAAUAUGUUACCUUGGAAAGAGUCCUUAAAAUAUGGCAGUGAUUUAUCUGCAGGAGUAUUUCAACCUCAGAGAAUACGUCUGCAGCACACGAGUCUGAUGUCUGUUAAUAAAGCAAAACCCACAGUACUCAUUCCAACACUUUCCAUUAUAAAGGAUUAUAAAUUAGACCUAGCUGUGUCUCCCUUUGAAUCCAAUCAAAUCAAACUAUGUAAUUAUAAACAAUAAAGUAAAUAAUAAUAAAUCAAUUAAAGAAGUAAAAUGGAAACCGCCAGGUAUGAAUCAAC